rnacentral:rRNA from 1 species
AAGAAUCUCAAUAGCUUGCUAAUGAGAUUUUUAGUGGCGGACGGGUUAGUAACACGUGAGAUACCUACCCUUUAGACAGGAAUAGCCCAUGGAAACGUGGAAUAAUACCUGAUAGUCUCUACGGAGUAAAUGAUGCCUUCUGGUGUCGCUAAAGGAUGGGCUCGCGGCCUAUCAGUUUGUUGGUGAGGUAAGGGCUCACCAAGACUACGACGGGUAGCUGGUCUGAGAGGACGAUCAGCAACACUGGAACUGAGACACGGUCCAGACACCUACGGGUGGCAGCAGUCGAGAAUCAUUCACAAUGGAGGAAACUCUGAUGGUGCAACGCCGCGUGGAGGAUGACGGCCCUAGGGUUGUAAACUCCUGUCAUUGGGGAGUAAGACUUAUGCGUUAAGAGCGUGUAAGUUUGAUAGUACCCAAGGAGGAAGGGACGGCUAACUUCGUGCCAGCAGCCGCGGUAAUACGAAGGUCCCAAGCGUUGUUCGGAAUAACUGGGCGUAAAGCGUGUGUAGGCUGCGCGGAAAGUCAAAUGUGAAAGCCAAGGGCUCAACCCUUGAACUGCAUUCGAUACUCCCGUGCUAGAGUAAUGGAGAGGUAAGUGGAAUUCUCGGUGUAGCAGUGAAAUGCGUAGAUAUCGAGAGGAACAUCAAUGGCGAAGGCAACUUACUGGACAUUUACUGACGCUCAGACACGAAGGCUAGGGGAGCGAAAGGGAUUAGAUACCCCUGUAGUCCUAGCAGUAAACGGUGCUCGCUUGGUGUGGGAGGAUUCGACCCCUUCUGUGCCGGAGCUAACGCGUUAAGCGAGCCGCCUGGGAAGUACGGUCCCAAGACUAAAACUCAAAGA